UACGGGGGGGGCAAGCGUUGUUCGGAAUUACUGGGCGUAAAGGGCUCGUAGGCGGCCAACUAAGUCGGAUGUGAAAUCCCCAGGCUUAACCUGGGAACUGCCUUUGUGACUGCACGGCUAGAGUGUGUCAGAGGGGGGUAGAAUUCCACGUGUAGCAGUGAAAUGCGUAGAUAUGUGGAGGAAUACCGAUGGCGAAGGCAGCCCCCUGGGAUAACACUGACGCUCAUGCACGAAAGCGUGGGGAGCAAACAGG
rnacentral:rRNA from 1 species